rnacentral:rRNA from 1 species
AGAGGGUGCGAGCGUUAAUCGGAUUUACUGGGCGUAAAGCGUGCGUAGGCGGCUUUUUAAGUCGGAUGUGAAAUCCCCGAGCUUAACUUGGGAAUUGCAUUCGAUACUGGGANNNNAGAGUAUGGGAGAGGAUGGUAGAAUUCCAGGUGUAGCGGUGAAAUGCGUAGAGAUCUGGAGGAAUACCGAUGGCGAAGGCAGCCAUCUGGCCUAAUACUGACGCUGAGGUACGAAAGCAUGGGGAGCAAACAGGAUUAGAUACCCUGGUAGUCCAUGCCGUAAACGAUGUCUACUAGCCGUUGGGGCCUUUGAGGCUUUAGUGGCGCASUAACGCGAUAAGUAGACCGCC